rnacentral:rRNA from 1 species
GAUGAACGCUAGCGGCAGGCCUAACACAUGCAAGUCGAGGGAGAAGCCCUUUCGGGGGCAGAAACCGGCGCACGGGUGCGUAACUCGUAUGCAACCUACCUUUCACAGGGGGAUAGCCCGAAGAAAUUUGGAUUAAUACCCCAUCAUAUUAUUGGAUGGCAUCAUUUGAUAAUUAAAACUGCGGUGGUUAAAGAUUGGCAUGCGUCCUAUUAGCUAGUUGGAGUGGUAACGGCACUCCAAGGCUACGAUAGGUAGGGGUCCUGAGAGGGAGAUCCCCCACAAUGGUAAUGAGACAGGGACCAGACUCGUACGGGAGGCAGAAGUGAGGAAGAUUGGGCAAGGGUCGGAAGACUGAACCAGCCAUGCCGCGUGCAGGAAGAAUGCCUUAUGGGUUGUAAACUGCUUUGAUAUGGGGAGAAUAAGGCGUACGUGUACGUUGAUGACGGUACCAUAUGAAUAAGCAUCGGCUAACUCCGUG